CCUACGGGGGGCUGCAGUGGGGAAUAUUGGACAAUGGGGGCAACCCUGAUCCAGCCAUGCCGCGUGUGUGAAGAAGGCCCUCGGGUUGUAAAGCACUUUCAGUGAGGAAGAACGCCUGGUGGUUAAUACCCAUCAGGAAAGACAUCACUCACAGAAGAAGCACCGGCUAACUCCGUGCCAGCAGCCGCGGUAAUACGGAGGGUGCGAGCGUUAAUCGGAAUUACUGGGCGUAAAGCGCGCGUAGGUGGCUUGAUAAGCCGGUUGUGAAAGCCCCGGGCUCAACCUGGGAACGGCAUCCGGAACUGUCAAGCUAGAGUGCAGUAGAGGAAGGUAGAAUUCCCGGUGUAGCGGUGAAAUGCGUAGAGAUCGGGAGGAAUACCCGUGGCGAAGGCGGCCUUCUGGACUGACACUGACACUGAGGUGCGAAAGCGUGGGUAGCAAACAGGAUUAGAUACCCCAGUAGUC
rnacentral:rRNA from 1 species